UGCUUAAUUGCGUUUCAAAAUUUAAACCUGAGCGACAAGGUGCUGCUAUCGAAACUGUCUUUGAGUGUGAACUAUAAGUCUUUUGACUUAUGACCAUCACUCUAGACGUUUAUGUUUUGGUGUUGGCCCUUGAUGCUCAUUUGAACGCAACGGACGUGAUUGCAACCCCUUGUUGAGAUUUAUCCGAUCUCUACGUUCACUGAACCACACUCUUUAGCGAGAGCAGUGGGGAUGUGGAUAAACUCGGGGGACUGCUGACUAUAAACUUUUCUCAAACCAGAGGAAGGUUGCGGCAAUAACAGGUCUGUGAUGCCCUCAGAUGUUCCGGGCUGCACACGUGCUACAUUUAGUAGCGCAGUGUGCACAUUAAUAGAGUGAUAGGUUCCGUGGUUUGUACAUUUUAAGGGCUCGUCCUAGUAACCAAAGCUCCACGGGACAUAUCAACCUUCCCCUUACAGGGCGGGUAACCUCUUCGAAGUGCUGGCAUGAUUUCCCUAGUUUUGGCAUUUGAAUCCUUGUCGCAGCAGCCCUGAGACGUAGUGAACGCUGCAAAGUGAUUCCAGUCUUAGGUUUGCGACACAUGCAAUUCCUGGUUGACUCAUCGUGGGGACUGAUUCUUGUAAUUAUUUUUCACGGUUCAACCAGGAAUGCCUUGUACCGGCGGCUCAUUAAACCGCUGGGAAUACGUCCCUGCCCUUUGUACACACCGCCCGUCGCUCUUACC
rnacentral:rRNA from 1 species